rnacentral:rRNA from 1 species
UCCUACGGGACGCAGCAGUGAGGAAUAUUGGUCAAUGGGAGAGAUCCUGAACCAGCCAAGCCGCGUGAGGGAAGACGGCCCUAUGGGUUGUAAACCUCUUUUGUCGGAGAACAAAACCCGGGACGUGUCCCGGACUGCGUGUAUCCGAAGAAAAAGCAUUGGCUAACUCCGUGCCAGCAGCCGCGGUAAUACGGAGGAUGCGAGCGUUAUCCGGAUUUAUUGGGUUUAAAGGGUGCGUAGGCGGUCCGGAAAGUCAGCGGUAAAAGCCCGGGGCUCAACCCCGGCGAGCCGUUGAAACUGUCGGA